GGCCUACAAUGAACCCGCCGAUUGGCCUCAGCUGUGGCCGCGCUGCCUUGUGAGGUAAGGCCGGGGGGCGGGGAAAUACAGCCUUCCUUCCGGCCCAGAAAGCCAAGAGGAGGAAGUGGGUUGAAGCCGGUGGAUCUCGCGAGAAUUUACGCAGAGUCCCGCUAGGCUCGAAUGGCGGUGUUUCUUACAGGGUGACGGGCACGGGUCGUUGUCUUUUCCGUCCCUUCUCUGUGGAUGAAAUGGACAUCUGAGGGUCUGCGACGCGCGGCUAGGCACUGAGGCCGGGACCUGCGUUUGAAUUGCGCCUGAGAAGCCUCAAGAAAGUGCCUCGAGGCUUCACAGCUGACGAAGUGCUGUGGCCUGCGUGCGUCACGGCUGCGCGGACUCAGACUAUCGGCCGGAGUGUCCGGAUUAGGGAAUUUGCCCCGGACUAGUCCGUAACUCCUCCACCUGCAGGGGCAAAAGAGGCACGUUCCUUCUCGCUCCAUUGCUAUGAUGGGUUCACUUUGGACCUGCAACUCUGCGGGAAGGGGUAGGGGAGAAGCAGGGCGCUGCCUAAGGUUGGAGGCCUGCGUUAUCCGAUCACCUGAAUGGUUUGAGCUGUUUGAGAAUGGAUAUGGGGAGAGUUUUGAAGCAAAAUGGGUAGCCGUAUAAGCAAUCUUUUUGAGUUCGGAUUUUUAAUUGGCUACUUUAUAUCUCUUUUCACCUCAGUUGGACCUAUUCAGAUAUUUGGGGUCAAAUUGUAUGCUAGACCCGGUUUUCCUGAAGAUACUGAGAUGAACCAAACAUACAACAGUGCCUACCUUCGCGGAGCUUUCAGUUCAGUUGGGUUUAUAACGGUUUGUGAUUUUAUACCUUUGUGUAAUAAAAUAAUUGAACAGAUUACUUCAGAAUGCUGUGAAGUGUAAUGAAAGAGGGCCAACUCUGGAAUGAGACCCAAAGGAUGAGUAGGAGUUUGUCGCGAGAGAGCACAACACGUUUAAGGAACAGAAAAAGGCCAGUGUGCUGGAGCAGAAGUUAGAAAUGGGGUGAGUGACUUGAGAAGGGGAUAGUGGGCAGAUAUGAGGGGCCAUGAAAGCCAGGUUUAGGAGUUUGGCCUCUUAAGAACAAUGGGCAGCUUGAAGAGUUUGGAGGUGGGAAGGUGACAUGAAGGUAUAGUUACGUUUAAGGUGAGACAGUUCUGCUUGGAUCGGAGAGAGCAAAAGUGGAAGCCAAGAGAUCUUUGGAAUGCUACAGUAAUUCAUGUGAGAAAUAAUUGUAGCUUGGAGGUUAGAACGGAGAGGACUGGAUGAUGAGUUGGAUGUGAAGAAAGAGCAAGAAUGGCUUCCAGAGUACUGAAAAGGUUACAUUUACUGAGAUGAGAAAGAUGAACAGGUUUUAGAGGAUGACUGAAAAUUUCAUCUUGCGCCUGUUAAGUCUGAGAUUGCUUAUGAGACAUGGAAGUGGUGAUGUUGUCACUCAGGCAAUUGCAUUUGUGUGGGCUUUGAAUCCUUUUGCAUGUUAUCUCAAUUUUGUACAUACCUCGAAGAUGGGGGAAUUAACUCCCAUUUCAUAGAUUGGGAAACGGAGGCAAAGAACAGUGAAAGGGACUUGCUCAGAGACACACAGAUAGCUUAUAGCUUUUAAACCUCAUGUUCAAUGUCCAGUGUAUUUUAUCAUGCGGCAAUCUGGUUACCUGUAUUUCUGUGGGUUUAAGUCCCAGACUUAACUAAGGAAAGUUUUCUGGCCCCCAGCAAAGUGAAUUCCCAGUAAGGAAUCUUUUUAGGUUCUGUUUUGUAAUUUUCAGUGUAUGUUCACUCCUUACAUAAUAUUUACUGUACUCUUUGUGCCAUUCACUGUGCCUAGGGGCCUUCUUAAAGUAAACACUGUUUACUGACUAGAUGAUACCAUGUCCCAAGCUUUUCUCUGCUUCAUUCCCCUUGCCCUGGUUCUUAAUUUCUACACUAGGUUGCCUUGACCUAUCUUUCCUGUUGAUUUUUAUGUUUAUAGUGUUGAUUCAGAAUAUUGUUUUGAUGCUGAAAAGACCAAAGCAGCUUGAGAGCACAGUGCUAUUAGGUACAGAAUGAGGUAACUGGUUGCUAAUGUGGAGGCCAGUUCAAGUAGCCAAGGUGAAGAAGGCAGGCACGGGAUGGUUGUGGGAAGGUUUCGUGGAGGCUAUAUACCCUUUGACUCUAAUGGAAGUCAGUGGGGUGGUUAAAGGAAAGACUUCUGGAGCUAGGCAGCCUUAGGGUUAAACCCUGACUCUGCUCCUUUUCUUGGACAAGUCACUUCUUAAAUCUCACAAUCUUCUUAUCUGUAAAAUGGGAAUACUAACUAUUUUGAGGGACUGUUUUUAGAUUGAAUAAAUUGUGCUGUGUACCAUUCACAGCAAGCAUGUGUCAUCAGUGAAUGUUAGUUCUCUUUUUAGUUUCUCCUAAUUUGUUCUAGCCUUUUUCACUAUUUCCUGUACUCAUUUCUUGAGAACCUGUGACACUAUCAUUCUCCAGCUGAAAGUAAAGUUGAGAGACUAAAAUAAAGUUGGUAGAGCAGAUCCAAAGUACACUUCCUGGGGAUUUUUUUUUUCAGGGGUGGAAAGUGGGGAGUUAGUAAAAUAGUUCUUUGGGAUCUUUCCCCCUGCUUCAGUAGUUGGUGUGUUAAUUAUUGUUAGAAAUUUAGAACUGUUCAGAGUUGGGAGUUUGAAAUAUUGGGUAUUUAUAUACCCUAACUAUAGUAGUAGAAUGAAUGACUUUAAUAGUCACAUGUGUUUUCCCUUCCUUUGAUUCAUCAAAUAAUUCAUACAAAGUUUAUUAAAAAGAAACAAAAAUGUGCCUGGAAAAAUAAACAAGUUUAAAAAAAAUCUCUGGACUAGACUUUCUCUAAAGUGCUUACAACUUCAGGAAGUAGAGAUGGAGAUCAAUAAAGGAAUGUCUAGUCUUCCCUCAAGUUCCUGAUUCUAUUUAACCAUAAUGAAUUUGAGGAAUGCAGUUCUGUAGAUUCCAUCCUUUAAAGAAAUCUUAUAGUAAGUAAAACUCAAUGAAGAACACCUAAGCCAUAGUGGUGAAAUAUAAAACUCAAAAGGAUUUAAGAUUUGUGUAAAUUGACAUAAGGCAUAGGUGCUUAACUGGAGUACGUAUGUGUGUGAAAGUGACUUGAAAUGGGGAAGUGUAAGGUUAUCAUUUACUCCCCUGUGGACAUGUAGUGGUGAAAUGUAACACCAGUGGGAGGGGGAACUACAACUAAGAAAUGACAGCAGUUUCCUUUCUAGAUGACCUAAUAUCUACAGAAUUUGUAGUCUUGUUAAAUUAAGCAUAUAUUGACCAUCAAAUGCUUUACCCUAUAAUAAUGUCUAACUUUAAGAAAAUAAGAGAACUUUUUUCAUUCUUUCAGUUCUAGAAAAAAAAUGUUUAUGUUUAAGAAUCCUUAUUCUAGGGAGUACUCACUAGCUGGAGUAGGUCUUCCCAUAACAUGAAAGAAUAAUUAGCAGGGCAAGAUUGAGACAUGCCCUUGGACCACGUGGGAGGAGGUGAAUACUUAAUGUUUCUAGUGGUACCUUUUUUUGGUGCAAUAGAGAUAUUUGUAGGAUAGCUAGCCAGAAUCUUAAUCUUUUUUUACCUCUUUAAAUUUUUUAAUUUAAAUAUAGUUGAUAUAUAAUAUUGGUUUCAUGUGUACAAUAUAGUGAUUUGACAGUUAUACAUAAUACUAAGUGCUCACCACAAUAAGUGUAGUUGCCAUCUGUCAACAUACCACAGUAUUGUAAUAAUCCUGUAGAUAUUACAAUAUUAUUGACCAUAUUUCUCUAUAUAUGCUAAUCUUUUAGUUCAAUUCCAUAAAUACUGUGUACCAGUUUCCUGUCUAGAACUGGGAUGAGUGCAGAAAAAGUUUAGAGGUAGUGCAGUCUUUAAAUCUGCAGUGCCUUUUGGGGGAAAAAAGAUGUAGAGACACAGGAAUGUUAAACAGUUAACAGCAUAAAAGGAGAAGUAGCUGUUUCCAGGGCUGAGGCAGAAAUAAACUAGAUAAGUCUGGAACAGUUGUAUCAGUAAGAAAGGAAUUUAUUUAACAAAGACUACUGGGGUCUUUUUUUAAUUGAGGUAUAAUUGACAUACAUUUUAUUAGUUUCAGGUGUACAACAUAAUGAUCUGAUAUUUGUAUAUAUUGUGAAAUGAUCACUAUGAUAGUCUGGUUAACAUCCAUCACAUGUGGUUAUGGAACUUUUCUUGUAAUGAGAACUUUAAUAAGAUUUACUCUCUUGGCCACUUUCAAAUAUGCAAUAAGUAUUAAUACAGUUACCAUGUCAUACAUUGCCAAGACAUUUAUAACUGGAAGUUUGUACCUUUUGAUUCCCCCCCUUCACCCAUUUCUCCCACCCCCAUCCCUCCAUUCCCUCACCCCUGCCUCUGGCAACGAGUAAUCUGUUCCUUGUAUCUAUGAGCUUGGUUUUGUUACUGUAUUUAUUUAAGAUUCCACAUAAAAAUAAAAUCAUGUUGUCUUUAUUUGACUCUUCAAUACCCUGAGGGUCCAUCCAUGUUAUCACAAACGGCAAGAUUUCAUUCUUAUUUAUGGCUAAAUAAUAUUCCACUGUGGUGUGUGUAUAUAUUUAUGUGUGUAUUAUUUAUCCAUUAACGACCACUUAGGUUGUUCCCGUAUCUUGGUUAUGGUAAAUAAUGCUACAAUGAACAUAGGAGUGCAUGUCUUUUCAAAUAAGUGUUUUCAUUUUCUUUGGAUAAAUAACCAGAAGUGGAAUUGUUGGAUGAUGUAGUAUUUCUAUUUUUAAUUUUUUGAAGAGUCUCCAUAUUGUUUUCCAUAGUGGUUGCACCAAUUUACAUUCCCACCAGCAGUGCACGUCAGGGUUCCUUUUCUCUAGUCCUUGCCAAUGCUUGUUAUUAACUUCUUUUUGAUAACAGUUAUUCUAACUUGUGAGGUUUUGAUUUGCAUUUCCCUGAUGGUUAGUGAUGUUGAGCACUUUUUUAUGUACCUGUUGGCCAUCUGUAUAUCUUCUUUAAAAAUGUCUAUUCGGAUCAAAUGCUCAUGUUUUUUAUUGAAUUGUUUGUUUUUGCUAUUGAGUUGUACAAGUUCUUAUAUAAAGAUUGUGGAUAUUAACCCAUUAUCAGAUACAUGAUUUGCAAAUAUUUCCUCCAACUCAGUAGGUCGCCUUUUCAUUUUGUUAAGUUUCUUUUGCUGUGCAGAAGCUUUUUCGUUUGAUGUAAUUCCAUUUGUUUUUGCUUUUGUUUGUGGUGUCAAAUCCAAGAAGAGACCAAUUCUUUAA